rnacentral:rRNA from 1 species
UACGAGGGGGGCAAGCGUUGUUCGGAAUCACUGGGCGUAAAGUGAGCGUAGGCGGAUGUUUAAGUUGGAUGUUUAAAACCGGGGCCUAACCUCGGAGCGGCAUCCAAAACUGGGCGUCUUGAAUAGGUCAGAGGCUGGUGGAAUUGGAGGUGUAGCGGUGAAAUGCGUAGAGAUCUCCAAGAACACCUAUGGCGAAGGCAGCCAGCUGGGACGAUAUUGACGCUGAGGCUCGAAAGCAUGGGGAGCAAACAGG